CAAAUGUAUUCUUUUUAACGGCUGAGUAAUACUCCAUUGUGUAUAUGUACCACAGCUUUCUUAUCCAUUCAUCUGCUGAUGGACAUCUAGGUUGUUUCCAUGUCCUGGCUAUUAUAAACAGUGCUGCGAUGAACAUUGGGGUACAUGUGUCUCUUUCAAUUCUGGUUUCCUCGGUGUGUAUGCCCAGAAGUGAGAUUGCUGGGUCAUAAGGUAGUUCUAUUUGCAAUUUUUUAAGGAAUCUCCACACUGUUCUCCAUAGUGGCUGUACUAGUUUUCAUUCCCACCAACAGUGUAGGAGGGUUCCCUUU
ensembl:lncRNA